UCACAGCAGGCCCCAGUGACCCCGGCCCUGCGUCACAUGUCCCCCUGGCCACGUGGAGAUGGACUUCGAGGGUGCCGGCUGCCACCAGGCCUCAGUCUCUGCCGGGCACCUCCCUGACCCCACUCUUCUUCAGCCACACACACGUGUGCCCACGCACACGCACAUGCACUUCUCAGGAUAUCCCCUCCCCCUGGUCUGUCACGUAAGAGGACUGGCUACUGCUCGGCCUUCAGAUACAGAACGUAUCUGGGCCCCUUUGCCCUCCUGGCUAAUCCCCUAUCCGAAGUCCGACGGCCAGAGCCCUGGGCACCAAGGACGGCUGAGAGCCCCACACUCUUCCUGGUUUCAUGCGAUCUGGAUAUUCCCAAGAGCGUCCGACAGAAGUAGAGCUCAUAGAGAUGGAGGUCAGCACCACGUGGCCAUGUCCAGUGUGCCUGGAUGACAGAGUCACCACAUUGGAGGGAACCUGGCCCAUAGCCACAAAGUCCAUCACAGAGGCUUCCUGUGAGUGGGUCUUGCUAAAAGAAGGGGAGACUCGGAUGAACGGGGGGAUGGAGCCGCACAUGGGGGACAAGAGGACAGGUGGGGCCAGCCUGGGCAGGCUCCAGACACUGGCCAAGGGGCUGGACGUGAGAGGUGGGCUAUGGGUGGCCACAGACUUGGAGGCGCCCCUUUGGGUGACGGGGGUGACUCUGCAGGACAGCCCCCACCAGCCCCUGCAGCUCCACCCUGGCGCACAUCCUCCCAUGCCUCACACAGCUCAGUGGGAUCCCCAGUGUACACCAUGGCUCCCAGGUACAACGGUGGAGACGCAGUCAUUUGUGCUGUGUCCCCAUCAGGGAGCAGGCACUAUGGGGGCCGAGAGGCAGGGAGGAGGGCAGGUGUGUGUCAUGGUGGCUGCCCUCCUGCAGCCACCUUUCUUCGGGCCGAGAGGGACAGGUGACCUGGACACCCACUGCCAGGGGAGGAGGGAUGGGAUGCUGCUGCCAGGGGCCCUGUGGACACAGGGGUCCUAUAGUGGCCACAUCAGGUGAUGUGUGUCAGCCACGGCCAGGCUCAGGACUGUGUCCUGGGUCGUGUGCCCCAGCCAACAGCCACCUUUGUGAAAUAGUUGGACAAGGAGCCACGAGGAAAUUGUGUGUGUGUGUGUGUGCAGUGCACGUGUGUGGGUGUGUAAGCAUGUGAGGAACUGUGUCCCCAUGUGGCCUUCCCUCUGUACGGGUGGGAGGAAGAUUGGUGCUUAGUGCCCUUAGGAUCUCUUUCUACAAGGACACUAACUCUCCUGGGUAGGGCCCCACCCUUAUUUUUUUUCAAGAUUUUAUUUAUUCAUGAGAGACACAGAGAGAGGCAGAGAUAAAGUCAGAGGGAGAAGCCGGCUCCCUGUGGGGAGCCUGAUGCGGGACCUGGUCCUGGGACCCUGGGGUCUUGACCUGAGCCAGUUGGGCCCCAGGGCCCCACCCUUAUGACCUCAGUUGACCUUAAUUACCUUCCCAAAGGCCCAUCUCCAAGUACUUGCACCGAAACAACAACCUAGGAAUUUGGGGGGACACAGUUCAGUCCACGGCAGGUGGUGAUGGAGGGGAGGAGCUGGGGACCCGGUGCCUGGCUUGGGUGCCCAGACCGACAGGGGAGCUGCCGGGCUACAUGUGUGCAGUUCUGAAACCUGCAAAGGCUCUGGAGUCCCCUUUGCCUGACCGAGGUCAGCUGCAUAUCCACCCGACAGCUGCAGGGACAGGUGUGCGGGGAGGGGGCAGGAACCCCAUCUGCACCUGCUGGGGGGCACCGCCUACAUCGGGGUGCCCUCUGCACACCCCAGCCCAUGGAGGCCGGCUGAGCUUGAUGGGGCUGGGAUAUGUGCUGCAAGGGCUGGCGUGUGGACCACACGGGCAGGGAGGACGGCCCAUGAUUUCCUAAGGAAACCGGGUGUCCGCUGCCGGUACUGGGGCGGGCCUUCCCCAGCGGCUCCCAACUGCUCCCCACACGCUUCUUUCUGCUUCCCUGUCUUCCGAGGGGUCUCGGCUUCCCUGAGGUCCC
rnacentral:lncRNA from 1 species